GUGGUGGUGGAGCUAACGACAUGUGUGCAGAAACUCUUCUGAACGGGACUUCCCUGAUCCUGUUUUUACCUGAUCUUCAUGCUCAAUAGAAAAGGCCUCAGCUUUGGAAUCAGCUUCCCAGUGAACACUGAGAGUUGAGUUUAGCAACUGUUUGGACUGGCCAUGUAACAGGGCCGUCCAGGUAGCAUGGCAUGGUACUGGAACACUAUGUCUUCUCUCUGACCUCUCGGAAUAUCUUCUGUGAUUCAAUGUGUUGGCCCACUGGAGGCCCUGGACUGGUUAAAACCUGGAGGUUUGAGAAACCCUUAUCUUCUCCAUACUCUUCAAAAGGGCAAUGGCUGACCAAGAUUACAAAUUAGUGACUGUUGAGGCUGGAAUCUAUACUGAGGUCAUGGGAACCCCUGCACUGCCCCUUCUAAUCACCCUCCUGCUUGGACCCUGGGAGCAUGACAAACAGUCACAUAAGAAAACUGAGGCUGAAGAUCACAUAACCAGUAAAUGGAACAGCCAGAAAUCAAAUGUUAUAUAUUGGCCCUGAAUUGGGGAUAAAGAAGCUAAAAGAAAGUGUACUUUAUAUUAAAUUUUAAGGUAUCCAAAAGCAAAUCAAUAAGCCAUGCUCUAGUUACAUUAAGAUAUUUUCACAAGUGCUAGGUUAAGUAAUAUAAAAUUGCCAUUUUUGUAGGUCAAAAGUAAUAGAAUAUCAUGAUUGUAUAUGGUUUGAUCUAAUAUAUAUCAUUAUUAGGUUCUGCUAAUCCAGAGUUUUCUGCCUUUACUUAACCAUCACAAUAAACUAAGGCCUUCCAAGCUAAUAAGAAUAAUGACAAAGAUAAUAAUUAGAAAAGUAUUCUUAACAACAUUAUCAACAAA
rnacentral:lncRNA from 1 species